AUGCAGUUUGGGAAGAGGAAUAAAAAUGAGUGUUCACACCGAGGCUGUUCCACUCAGACUCACUCCCUCCCUCCUCUGUCCGUGUGUGUGUGUGUGUGUGUGUGUGUGUAUGUGUGUGUGUCUUUUUCUAUGAAGUACAGUAAAUCUGUCAAACUGACCAAUAAUCCUUAAAGAGACUCUAAUCUGAGGUCUACCUGUUCUCAAAGACGUCACCUCCACCUGUCUGUCUGUGGACUUCCUGUAAAAUACACGUGUGUGAUGUCAACAGGUGGGUUUAAUCCUUAAUCUGAUGUAAACAGAUAAUCUUAAUCUGUAUUAUAACUAAACAGAUGAGUUUAUUCCUCAAUCAUUUAUCCAGACACAUAAAUUUAUUCUUUAAUCUAAUCCAGGUGAGUUUAAUCCUUAAUCUGAGACAAACAGGUGGGUUUAAAUCUUAAUCUGAUGUAAACAGGUAAUCUAAUCAGACAGGUGAGUUUAAUCCUUAAUCUAAUCCAGUUGAGUUUAAUCUUUAAACUAAUCUAGGUGAGUUUAAUCCUUAAUCUAAUCCAGUUGAGUAUAAUCUUUAACCUAAUCUAGGUGAGUUUAAUCCUUAAUCUAAUCUAGUUAUUCUUAAUCCGUAAUCCAAACAGGUCAGUUUGUUCACUCGUCCAGACUGUUUUUGUUCUAAUCUAUAAACGAGUUCAUUUCUGCCGUCUUUAACAUGGGGACUGACUCACAGCAGGACACAGCCUCUAGUGGACACUGAAGGAACUGCACCCACUAGGGUCAGUGUAUCUGAAUUUUAAUCAGAUUGAAAUUAGUGUAAAACUUAAUCUGUAUUAUUAUUUCAGACUUUCACACACAUGUAACUGCUCUCUGAAACUUUUUUUACACGAUUAAAGUUUAUGAUUUUCUCUUUUCUUUUAAACUAAAUAACUAAACUAACUAAAUACUCCUAACGCACAGAGCGUUAAUUCAUCCCAUUGCUACAGCAGAUUAAUCCCAGAUUAUCGGCCUCAGCCCACAGACAGUGACAUUCAUACGGAGCUCUAUGAAAAGGUCGGUGUUUUCAGAGUUAGUGUUGGACUGAAGCUGCAGCAGCAGAAACUGUAUUUCUCAUCAGUAAUUAUAUAUUAUCAUACAGACGGGCUCUUUGAUUUGAUCAGAGACGGCAGACACCCCCCCACACACACACACAUGCACACACACAUGCACACACACACACACACACACACACUCACCCCGAUACAGCGGUCAGAUUACCUCGAGUCAGUAAUUCCACUCGGAUAAUUCUCUCAUUAUCAUGAAGCCAGAAGGAAACUCACCUCUGAGGACAUUUUGCAUCGAAGCAGCCAAAUAAAAUACAUAUCAGCGGGUAGAUUUAGCAUUCGCCUCCGCUCGGAAUAAACGACCACUGAGACAAAUGCCAUGUUUACUGGGCCGCCGUGUGGACGACGACCGCCUGCAGGAGCCCGUCUCCAGCCCGCGUCCGCUCUGCGAUACAUAUUUAUGCAGAUUCCUCCAGCUGCACAGAAUAUUAUCCAUGACAUUAGUGUGAAUGACUCCUCUGUUCUGCAUGCAGAUGCAAGUUUUGAGUAAAUGUCAAAGCGGCCUCUGCUGUUGUGUAAUCCCCUUUAAUCGCUGCGUAAUGACCCAAUUAGUUCAGUUUGACUUCCAUCGAUGUUCGAGUCGACGGCGUCCUCUGACACUUCCUGUUUUGGGUUUAAUAGGGAGACUAAUGGGUUUCUCUGGCUGUGGUGAUGCAAACAUGACUUCAGGAGACAUUGAAAUUCUUGUGUUGUAAUAUAAUAAUUUAUAAAUGCAUAUACAGCCGGCUGUGAUCUGAAUAUGGAUGUUUUACCUCACGGCGGCUUUAUUAUUUCCUGGACAUCCACAAACACUCGAGGUCUCCUGAAUACUAAUCCAAGAUUUUCUCUGUUCGUUUGUUUUCCUGCAAUUUAAACAGAUCUACUUUUUUUCCUAUAAAACUAAAAAUAUCACCUGAAAACAAACCAACUCAACCCUGAAGUACACGAACUUACCCAGGGUUUACACCGCAGCGAUCUGGAACGGCAGCCAUUUUUGCCGUACGCCAAUUCCUACUGGAUCUGUUUCUGAGGUGAAUUUCGUGGUGGAUUAUGGACAGCAGGAACCAUGAGUCCAUGUUGUCUGUGAAGACUCCGUUAAUGCUGAACAAUAUCUGCAGGUUUAGGAGCAUCAGGACUCUGUAGUUGGAGUCACCGCCUCAUAAGGUUAAUAUCACCUCUCCGUGAACCGUCCUGAGGUGGUCCUCACAGACCUUGACUAUGAGGAUGUCAUGAGUCUGCUCUCCGACAACGUGGAACAAGCACAAGAACUACUGAACAGGGUAGAGCUAGAGUGCGCCAAGGUUGGCCUAAAUGCCAAGAAAACUGAGAUCAUCACCUACAACGUUCCACCAGAGCAUCAACCUCUGACUACAGAAGGGGGCGCUGUGCUGAAAGAAGUCGAGGACUUCCUGGGCUCAGGGGUCAACUCAACUGAACAAGAUCUAAACGUGAGGAAGGCACUUGCAUGGAGAGCCCUGAACGGUAUGACCGGUGUAUGGAACUCCAACCUCCCCCGCCAAAUCAAACUCAGACAGUAGAGUCCGUUCUCCUCUAUGGCAGUGAACGCUGGACCCUGAAGACAACCCUGGAGAAAUCCCUAGAUGGGUGCUACACCAGGAUGUUGCGUGCAGCGCUUAACAUCAGCAAGAACACACAUGUGACCAACAGAACACUGUACGAGGGAAUACCAAGGGUGAGCGAGAAGAUCGCUGUAAGGAGAAUGAGACGAGCAGGACACCGCCAAAGGCAUCGGGAACUGUGGGAACCAACACACGGUCAGCGGUCAAGAGGACGUCCUACACUAACAUACUUGGACAUACUCAAGAAGGACGCAGGAGCUCAGAGGACCAACGAACUGGUGAGAUGUAUGGAGAAUCGGGAUGACUGGAAGUGAAGAUGGAAGGCUCUUCUGAGGACGACCUAGAGAGAGAGAGAGAGAGAGAGAGAGAGAGAGAGAGACAGAGAGAGAGAGAGAGAGUCCUGAGGUCUGAUGGAUCAAAAUCUAACACUCUUUUGGAAAGGACUGGAAAUCAUAGAUGCUGCAUCCUUAGUUUUAAACAACAUCUCUAGGUUUAGGAGCAACAUCUGCGUCCAUCCGGACAAAGAUAUAUGUAUGUAGGAAGUUGAAUAAAAUCGGUCCUUGAACCGAGACAUGAGUUUGGUCUUGGACUCUAAAAUCCGUCGAGAACUGCCUCAAAAUUUCAAAACUUGACAGAAAUAAACUCCUC